GAAUGACCGUUUAGCGGAUGGAGACACAGUAGGAGUGAGGCAGAGAUGGUGCAAAGAGGUGCUUUAAUUUUCACCCAGUGAACAACAUAAGGCUAAAUCAACCAAACAAAAUAACACAAAAUGAAAUUAAAAGUACAAGCGGGCCACAGCCCAUGUGCAGCAGCCUUUCUGCAACAGCCUCCCCUCUCUCUGGUAACGAGGAGCCCGUCCUUUUAUAUUGUGCCUGCCCGGUCCAGACUCCUCCACUUGCUGCAUAGGGAAGCUCUAAACACAAACACUCAUACACAUAAGAAAUAAAUCACACAAAUACACAAACAUAAUACAAAUAAUCAAUACUCAGUAACCUGUGCUGUUGCACUCCUCCUAUUCCACCAAACAAUAAUAUAACUCCAAAUUAAAUACCGAACCCACUACAAACUCCCCUACUCUCAUUAAUCAGUAGUUGAGGCCAGAGCCUUCAAAAUGGCGCCUGGUUGUGAGGUCACUCUCUUUACCAAACCAACUGGAGCACAUGAGGUUUGCGACAUGACACUGAAACAUUCUGAAAGAGUACAACAAACAAGCACACACCCUGGCUGGAAGAGGAGAAAGGGCAGAGCUGGAGCACCAGGCCCUGAGGCAAGGAGACGAGGAGAUGAGGGAGAGACUGCUGAAAGCAGAGGCUCCUCUAGAGGAGGACAGUGACUUCUUCUUGUUUACCAGAUGAUUAGACUUCUCUGCCAUCAUGUUCUCAUGUUAUGGCAACUAAAAGGUUUUAUAUUUUUAAAGGUUUUCUUCAAUAUCCUUCAACAUGUGUACGAAAACAUUUAGCAACAAGGUCAUUGUUUAAUUACUAGAAUGAAGGAGCAUUCAAAACUUUGAUGUUGAAAUCUGCUGGAACCGCAUCAGCAUGUACAGUGUAUGAGUGACUUAUUAGAACACAAAGUGAACUUGUACCUGUAAAACACAGCUGUAAAUGUGUGUGUGUGUGAAUCUUUAGUGUGGCAAAGCUCCAACAAGUCACGUGUCUUAUUCAUAAGCAUGGUUAAACUAUUGAGAUUAAUUAAGGGAUGAUCCAUGACAAGCUGUGCAAUAUUCACAAGACAGUGGUUAAUUACCGUCAAGGAGUGAUUCAUUCUGGUGUCAAAAGUGUAAUUAUGAAGCAGUUCUGAUCAGCUCACAUGAAAUCUGACAUUCAUGUACUGUACAAGCAGCCCAGCCAUGAUUACUUUAUUAGAUAUCUGAACUCAGUUAGGAAAUUAAAUCUUUCUUUAUAUUGUG